UGGCUAUAGUGAGUAGGUGAUUAAAGCAUCACCACUCCCAAAACUUCUUGCCGCUUAUCCACUCCAGUUCACUCUGAACAUCAAUGCACAAAAAUGUUUCUCUCAUAGGGUCACCCCCCCCCCGCCCCCGCUGCAAAAGAGUCAGCUAGCUCUCCAAGGCCCACAGCCUCAAAGUCCCAGCUCCGUCCAGUCCUGCUUCUUCUACCACUGCUCUCAAAUGCACCCCUUGGCCUCCUCCCUGUCCCUCUCGGCCCCUCCCCUCCGCGCAGCCUUCCUCUUCUAUUCCCACCACACUUCUUCCGCACCCCAGCUCUAAACUGUGCCCACACCAAGCCCCACCUCCUUCAGCAAGCCUUUCGAGGUCUGCACUGGGAUCUCCCCUUCUUUCAUCUCCAACUGCACUUGGUGCUAAUACUUCACAGUAAACUGACCCUUGGUUUUAGUGCUACUGGAGGCACCUGGGGACAGCGGCGCGCAAGCUUUCGGGACCCCUGCUUCUCCCCCAAACACCGAGCUGAGCUUCUGCUCCUGCAGGGACCCGCCGCCGGGGCGCGUCAGCGUGCGGCCGUGUCCUAGUCGUCCUCCCCUCCUCCUUCGGCAUCUGCUCUGCAUUAGUCUGUCCCAGGCCUCCGCAGGCGCCGGUGAUUGAAUCAUCAUCAUUAACGAGGGCCUGCCCCCCUCCUCCCGGCGGCAGGGGAGGACGGCGGGGGGGAUGUAAGAUCACUACCAAGUCUCUAGGGGUUCCUCCUCCCGUCGCCCUCCCCGAGCCUCCGCAAAGCCCCGGGAAACUCCCGCUCUGGAGCCGGGAGAAGGCCCACCGUCGGAUGUAGCUCCGCAUUGUCUAGCGUCGGCCGACGAGGGCGACAUAACACGGAGAGCGCGGGAGGGGCUUUAGCGUGGUUGUCACCAGAGCUGGGCGACCCUGAGCGGCGGCGGGCGGAGACGCCCGGCCUUCGGGGGAAGGAGGAGGCAGGCUUUUGCAGGCUCCAAAAGUUCGUCCCGAGGUUCGGUCGGGUCUACGAUGAUUAUUACUGCAGGAGGUCAAUGAGAUAGGGCCCCUCCCCACACAACCCCCACUCCCCAAUUACCAACUGCGGAGGGGGAGGGGCCACUGGGGCUCAGGUGAGCACACGGGGGAGAAAGGACGUGGGCGGGGCCUUACGGAGAGUCAGCGAAUCCGAAAAGACCUAAGCCCUCGUUGCUCGGCGACAAGUCCCGCCCUGCAGGCGGCACCGGAAGUGGCAGGCCAGGAUCAGCCUUUAAGAUGGCGUCUCCUCAGGGGGGCCAGAUUGCGAUCGCGAUGAGGCUUCGGAACCAGCUCCAGUCAGUGUACAAGAUGGACCCGCUACGGAACGAGGAGGAGGUCCGAGUAAAGAUCAAAGACUUGAAUGAACACAUCGUCUGCUGCCUGUGCGCUGGCUACUUCGUGGAUGCCACCACCAUCACAGAGUGUCUCCAUACUUUCUGCAAGAGUUGUAUUGUGAAGUACCUCCAAACCAGCAAGUACUGCCCCAUGUGCAACAUCAAGAUCCACGAGACACAGCCACUGCUCAACCUCAAACUGGACCGGGUCAUGCAGGACAUCGUGUACAAGCUGGUGCCUGGCUUGCAAGACAGUGAAGAGAAACGGAUUCGAGAAUUCUACCAGUCCCGAGGCUUGGACCGAGUCACGCAGCCCGGCGGGGAAGAGCCAGCCCUGAGCAACCUCGGCCUCCCCUUCUGCAGCUUUGACCAUUCGAAAGCCCACUACUAUCGCUAUGAUGAGCAGCUGAGCCUGUGCCUGGAGCGGCUGAGUUCUGGCAAAGACAAGAAUAAAAGCGUCUUGCAGGUGAGAGGGGCUGUGGGAGGACCUCUCAGGAGACUCACCUCCUCGGGGCCCUUCUCUCACACACCUUGUCUUCCUUUCCCUGCCCACCCUCAGAACAAAUAUGUCCGGUGUUCUGUUAGAGCUGAGGUUCGUCAUCUCCGGAGGGUCCUCUGUCACCGCUUGAUGCUAAAUCCCCAGCAUGUGCAGCUCCUUUUUGACAAUGAAGUUCUCCCUGAUCACAUGACCAUGAAACAGAUCUGGCUCUCCCGAUGGUUCGGCAAGAAAUCUUCUGAGUGUCAUCAAGAAGGAUGACCCUCAGCAAAUGACCAAAGGAGAGGGGUAGAGGACCCUACUUACGUAAAACCCAGUAAUGUUUUCGGCAAGAGAAAAUCCCAGAAGUGUGCGAGGUGGAUGGAUGCCCGCGCCAAGCUCCUCUGCUUGGAGUUUCCCCCAUGAA